rnacentral:misc_RNA from 1 species
UUUCCGUAGGUGAACCUGCGGAAGGAUCAUUAUUGAAUAGGUUGAAGGGCCGUUGCUGGCUUUUCGAAGCAAUGUGUUCGCCUUUGAGACUCUUUCCUCAACCACCUCGGGUGCACCAUUUGUAGACUUUUUGGCAGGUAUUGUGGUUCGAAGCUCCUGCUGUUCAUGCUGAUUUAGUCUUCCGUGGGGGUUAGGUGUUUUUAUCAUAAAUCACCUGGUUUAGGUAUGGAUUUUGUUUAUGGCUUGGAUGCUUUGCGGGUUUGGUUCGUUGUAAUAGAUUGAAGUGCUGUCUAUGGCUGGUCGAAGCAAUUGGCACGCCUUACAGGCUCUUUUCUCGCCACCCGCCUGUGCACCAUUUGUAGGCCUUUUGCGUGGUAUUGAGGGUUUGCACUCCAUAUGUCCUUGCUCAUAUUGUCUCUCUUGGGGUCAAUGUGUUUUAAUCGGACUCAGCCUGGUCUAGGAAUGUAUUUUGUUUAUGGCUUGACCCCUUUGGGGGUUCGGGGCUUUGUAAUCUUUACACAACUUUCAACAACGGAUCUCUUGGCUCUC